UGUUUUUAUUAUUAGCUAGCUUUGAGUUGUUUUUGUAGAGCUCAAAGGUGCUCAUUAUAUUAUAUCUUUUCUUUUUUUAUUGCUGUGAGAUGUUCUUUUAACAUAACAUAGCAAUAGCCUUGUUACCAUUGCCAAUUAACUGAACUUGGCACUAACCAGCUGAAUCAGAGGGAUGAAAGGAUUGGAAAGGUAAUAAGGGAGACCAAUGGAUAAUGGCCAAAGUAAGACACUGGAAAAAGGCCAAAUUAAGAGGUGUACCUGUAAUGGGCUUGUUAGACACACAAAAAAAAAAUGCUCACGGGAUAAAAGAUGGACAGUAUGCUGACUGCAGACAGACCAAUAUGAAAGCAAAGAGCCAUCAAAGAAGUGGAGUUCAAGAAAAGCAUAAAAGGGGGGAGCAAGAAAGUUCAUCAUCAUCAUCAUAAAUCCAGCCUUCAAUACCUGUAUGGACCGUCCCAGCCCAUGCUUUAUCCUUUGCUUCCAGGAACUGAGUGGCCAUCUUUUCUGUUGAGCAGAGUAACAUCUGGGACUGGGUUCUGAGACAGCCCAGUCCACCUGGAACAUGUCUGGAAUCCACAGCUCUAUUGCUGAUGGCUGAAGUCUGGAGAUGCAGAAAGUUAUUAAAGGCUGAACAAAGAGCCCAGCUGACAAUGAAUGGGAUUACAAAGGGAAAAAAGCAAGAAAUUCCCUCACAGAGAUAGAUGUUUUGGACAAGAAAGGAUAAUUACAAAAGCAUAUUCAUUAAUAGGCUUUUGUAGCAGGAAGGGCCCAAUUUAGGGGCAGGACUAGCCAAGAUAAGAGAAGACAAAAACUUCUCAUCUGAACCAAGAGUAAGGUGCACUGUAUUCAUGCCAUUUACAUUUUCUAAUCACCUAUCCUCUGUUAUAUGUUAGAUUUUAAGCAAAGAGCAAUGCUGUUUCUAAAAACUCUGCACAAUGCCUAUUUGUCCAUCUCUGCGCCUACCUAGCUCCUGAUGAAUUAAAACAUAAAUAAGAAGGCUCACAGUGGGCACAUCUACAUGUGCAUUUUAAUCUGAAUUAGCUUAUUUUGAUGCACAUUAAAGUGUCACAAAAAACCCCAUGCGCUUUCGCUAAUGUGCAUUAAAAUCAGAUAAUGUGAGAUUUUCUAGUACCUAACAAUGGAGGUGCUAAAUUUAAGGUGCAUUAGCAAAAGCACAUUAAUGAACGUGUAGACCAGGGGUGCAGGCACCCGGUGGGGCACAGCUACAUCCAGUAUUGCACAUCGUGGCAAGGGGCACAGCCUCCACUGGGCCAUCUGUAUCAUUAGCACUUCCCGCACUUGUGCAGCAUGGGAGGGAAGCCCCAGGUGAUGGAACCGCCUGUCUUCCCUACCAGGGCUACAUGGCAUGGGAGAGAAGCCCCAGGCACCUUUCCCUGGGGGGUGGGGAAGGCAGCUGUUUCCAGUGCUUGGGGCACUCCCAUGCCCAGAGAGUGCGGGGAGUGCUGGUGAUAGAGAUUGCUCGGUGGAAGGCUGUGCUCCUCGCCAAGAUGUGCAGCACUGGCCAGACCUGCACCACACCAGGCUCCAGAGCCCUGAACACCCUCAAAUGCUGCUGCUGUGCCAUGGGGGGGGGGGUGCUGCAGGCAUCUCCACACCCCCCCACCCUCCUCACACCCUACAAAGCUUACACCUCCACACCCUGCCCCACAACUCCCCACAUAUCCCCUAAUAUACCUUAUGCCCCGCCAC